UACGGAGGGUGCGAGCGUUGUCCGGAAUCAUUGGGCGUAAAGGGCGCGUAGGUGGCCCGGUCAGUCUUUGGUGAAAGCGCGGGGCUCAACCCUGCGUCGGCCAGGGAUACUGCCGCGGCUGGAGCACUGUAGAGGCAGGCGGAAUUCCGGGUGUAGCGGUGGAAUGCGUAGAGAUCCGGAAGAACACCAGUGGCGAAGGCGGCCCGCUGGGCAGUGGCUGACGCUGAGGCGCGACAGCGUGGGGAGCAAACAGG
rnacentral:rRNA from 1 species